rnacentral:lncRNA from 1 species
CCCCUCCCCUCCCCAGCUUCUUCCCCCCUAUUUUCCCCUCCCUCUCCCUCCACCUCCCCUCUCUGUUCGCUCCUCUCUUCUCUCCAUUCCACUCCUUCCCCGGCUUUUGUUUUUAGUGUUGAAAAGCGUAGUCUUCUUCCCAAACUCUCUAUCUCUUCUCCCUCCUUCUUUCCUUUGAGGGGUGGCUCUGACCUUUCUUUUCACCUCCAGCCCCACAGGACACACAAGUGGUGAGAAGAAAGGCCGUGGCUCCGCGGCCAGGACAAGGGCUACCUGCAGCCUCGGUCCGUCACUGGGGCGGCCACUGGUCCAGAGCCGGCCCUUUGAAGUAGACAUUCUUCUCAUCUCUGUUUUACAAAGGAAGAAACGGAGACACAGAGACAUUAAGCAACUUGCCCAAGGCCACACAGCCAGAGUGGAAAAGAAACCAUCACCAAGUCAACGGCUGUAUACCAUGGACCUCAGACUGUGCUAAUCUGCUGUAACAGAGACACCACAACUGGCAGCGCAGCUGCAAUUAGAGCAUGAAGAGGGGAAGUGAGGCAGAAGACGAGACCAGAAGUGCAGAUUGGUGCCAGAUUGCAAAGGGCCCUGAAGGGCUCACAAUGGGAUUGGACCAUGGCCUGAAUACGUGAGGAGUCCCCACAGGUUGUAGUAUGUUCCAUCCACUCACUCCUUUAAAACAGAAAACUGCAAGCUUCCGAAUGAACUGUCUCACUAGCUGGAGUCCGUGCUCCGUGCCGUGACGGGCUGCCCUGUUCCCGCCUUCAGGAUGGAAACGCUCAUCCUCCUGGCUAUUAAAAUGUCACAGCUGUGUCCCAGCCACCCUUAAACUUCCCUUAUUUCCGGACUAGAACGUGCUCUUCCAACCUUCCACUCCUCUGCCUUUGCUGUCCUUUCUCUGGGCUAUCUCCUCCACUUCCCAUGUCUGGAGAAAUUCUAUUCAUUCUGCAAGACUUCCUGGGAUGUUUCCUCUCCCUCGUGAUAGGAUUAACCGCUUCCUUCUGUUUCCAGAGCAUUUUGUUCACAAUGUGAGCUUAGGACUUGAACAGAUUCUGUAUGUCACGUUGUGGCUGUCAGUGUCCUUGGCUCCCCUAUGAACUGUGUACUCUGCACAUCAGUCUGGGCCAUGUGUCCUUUAUCUUCAUGUCACCAGAGGUUUCCAUACAGCCUGACACGUAAGGAAUGUUAGUGAAUUAAAUUUGUUAUUCAGUUGAAUCAGAUUCUGGUGUUAAGAAAGGAAAAUAAACUCCAGGCUGAGAUGCAC